GACGAACGCUGGCGGCGUGCUUAACACAUGCAAGUCGAACGGAAAGGCCCUGCUUUUGUGGGGUGCUCGAGUGGCGAACGGGUGAGUAAAACGUGAGUAACCUGUCCUUGACUUUGGGAUAAAUUCAGGAAAAUGGGGCUAAUACCGGAUAGGAGCUAUUGAUGCGUGGUGGGGGUUGGAGAGUUUCGGCUGUUGGGGAUGGACUCGCGGCAUAUCAGCUUGUUGGUGGGGUAGUGGCUUACCAAGGCUUUGAAGGGUAGCCGGCCUGAGAGGGUGACCGGCCACAAUGGGACUGCGAUACGGCCCAGACUCCUACGGGAGGCAGCAGUGGGGAAUAUUGCACAAUGGGCGGAAGCCUGAUGCAGCAGCGCCGCGUGCGGGAUGACGUCCUUCGGGUUGUAAACCACUUUCGCCUGUGACGAAGCGUGAGUGACGGUAAUGGGUAAAGAAGCACCGGCUAACUACGUG
rnacentral:rRNA from 1 species